rnacentral:rRNA from 1 species
UACGAAGGGGGCUAGCGUUGCUCGGAAUUACUGGGCGUAAAGCGCACGUAGGCGGUCUUUUAAGUCGGGGGUGAAAUCCUGGAGCUCAACUCCAGAACUGCCUUCGAUACUGGAAGACUUGAGUCCGGGAGAGGUGAGUGGAACUGCGAGUGUAGAGGUGAAAUUCGUAGAUAUUCGCAAGAACACCAGUGGCGAAGGCGGCCCACUGGCCCGGUACUGACGCUGAGGUGCGAAAGCGUGGGGAGCAAGCAGG